CUUUUGGGAUUUUUUUGUGUUUUUUUGAGGCAGGGUCUCCCUCUAUCACCAAGGCUGGAGUGCAGUGGUGUGUUCACAGCUCACUGUAGCCUCCACCUCCUGGGCUCACAUGAUCCUCCCAUCUCAUCUCCCACCACCGAUGGUGGGACUAUAGGUGUGUGCCACCACACCUGGCUAAUUUUUGUAUUUUCUUGUAGAGACAGGGUUUCUCAAUGUUGCCUCAGCUGGUCUUGAACUCCUUGACUCAAGCUAUCCACUUGCCUCAGCCUCCCAAAGUGCUGGGAUUACAGGCAUGAGCCACCGCGCCUGGCGGCAUUUUAUGCUUUCUUAAACUAGAGGAUAAGCAUUUCAACAAAUGGAUAAUGACUGAUCCUGUGUGCAAAUAUAAUUGCAAGGUUAUAACCUUCUUGGUCUGAGAGGAGAAAAAUACAAGAAUGAUUUAUGGAGGCAGCUUGCAGAGUUUUCAGAUCUCCAUGGCA
rnacentral:lncRNA from 1 species